rnacentral:lncRNA from 1 species
CAAAAGCGACGGUCUCUUCGCGUUGAUUGGACGUUAAAGAGGGAGGUUGUUUUGGAAAUAGCCGCAGAUCCGGAGACCCCGGGAGAAGUGGGGAGUAUAUGAUUUAGGCUCAACGCUGCAAAAUGCGGGAAGAGGAAAAAAACCCUCGGGCGCUGCACGCUCAGGUGGGGAAGGGGGCUCGGCUCUGGGUCUGACGGGCUGGGUGGGGGAAAGAUAAGGACUAAUACAAAGUAAAAAUAAAUAACCAAAAAACAAAAACAAAUAAACAUGGGGUUCUUUGAACAGUCACAGGUGCA